GUCACUUUUAUGGAACAGUUUUUCUGUCAUUGAAACUCAUAAGACAUGGACUCAGUAUUUCAAGGUUCAAUCUCACAUAAUAUUCAAAACUUCAAUUUUACUUUAAUGUUAAAGUUCUCUUUUUUUCUCUUCUUCUCUAUCUCAAUGGCUGGUUUCUACUUCUCAGAGAUCAGAAUGGGGGAGAAAGAAGAGGAAGGGGCAGGAAAGUUCCAUCUGGUAUGGCUGUGGUCUAGCUCCAGUGUUUUCUAGGCUUGCAGGUGGUGAGAGCUCGCUUUUUCUCUUGUGGGAGGCUUUCACAUGGGUUCUUCAGAGACUCUCAUCACUGGAGAUCUUUCAGUUGAAGCUCUCUGGAAAUGACAAAUGCAUCCCUAUUUCUCUUGGUUGCUUGAUUCUUAACCCCAUUUCAUUAAACAAUACCCAAUUCAUUCUCUUUUUUCUCUUCUGCAGGAUGUACUUACAUCCCAACAAACUGAAAAUGCUGACCAACUGCAGCACAGCCAACUCGAAUUUGCUCUUUCGUCAAAGUGACCAGCACCUCAUUUCUUCGUCUUUAGAAUUUGUAGAGUCCUAUGGCUAUUGAUAGCCAGCAUCUUGGCUUCACUCACAUGGAUGAGCCCCAGCUGGAAUGGCUAGAAGACGUGGGACAGCUGGAUCUCUCUCUACAUGGUUUUUCAUUGUAGUCUCAGGUUCCAAUAAAAGCAGAAGCUGUGAGGUCUUCUGAGGCAAAGACUUAGAAAUAUCAUAAUGUUACUUCUGCUGCAUUCUGAUGAUCAAAAAUCCCACAAUGUCAACUUCAUUUAAAGGGGUAAAGAUACAAAUGUAUCGCCUUCAAUGGGAGUUACUGCAAAUAAUAUAAUUUGUGAUAAUUUUUAAUAUACCACAAUAUAUUGGCUUAUCUUUUUUUUUUUUUUUUUUUUUUUUUUUAGAGACGGAGUUUCGCUCUUGUUACCCAGGCUGGAGCGCAAUGGUGCGACCUCGGCUCACUGCAACCUCCGCCUCCUGGGUUCAGGCAAUUCUCCUGCCUCAGCCUCCUGAGUAGCUGGGAUUACAGGCACGCGCCACCGUGCCCAGCUAAUUUUUUGUAUUUUU
rnacentral:lncRNA from 1 species